GGGGAAAAAGUUAUAAACAAAAUGAGAAAUAAUCACAGCCAAAGUUAUUAGACUUCCACUAAUUAUAGCAAAAGGUGCAAAAUCAUUUUUGUAAAAUCUAAAGGCAUAUACUUUCUAAGCAUAUGAAACUUAUUUUACUGUUUUCAAGCCAGAAGAAAGAACACAGAAAAUAAAAAUCUCCACUACAGAGCAAAGCAAAUAAUCAUGCAUCUCGGACUGCAGGAAAGCAUACAAAAGGCAAAGAUUUUCCUCAGGCAUCAGUCAUCUACUUGUGAGAGCUUUGGCAACUCCUCUACUAAAGCAGGGUUGAGACUGGCGAUGACAGCAUUUGCGUAGGCUGAGGUUGUGGCAAAACCCCCCAUAUCCUUGGUCCUCACCUACGCGCAUGCAUGAAGAGAAAGUAUGAAAAUGAAGUCUACAUUAAAGAUGACUAACUACAUAAAGCUUUAGUCUUCCUAUUUGUGACAGGCGAGGAAGUCUCCUCCAGAAUUCCACCGUUAUUUCAUGUGGAUGGUGGUUGUCCCAUCUGUGCAUGUGCCAGAGAACAGUGUGGGUCUUGGUGCUGACUGGCUUUCCUGACAGUCUCUUUGUUAAUAAUUAAGCAGCCAGCAAGGGCUAUUUCCUGCAG